UGGCUCAGAGGUUAAGUACUUGGCUGCUAACCAAAAGGUUGGUGGUUUGAGCCCACC
rnacentral:tRNA from 1 species